rnacentral:ncRNA from 1 species
GUAAAUGCAAUGAAGAGGAAUAGUACAAUUAUUUCUGAUUACAGAAAGCUGUCGGUUGAUGCGAGACAGUUGAGGAAGAAAUUGGAACUCACCUUGGAGCGGCUGCCCCAAAUUCUUAAUAUAGUUUAAAUGCUGGAUAGAGAAAAGUAGACGCAGACGGAACCCCAACCGUUAUCUGGGUAGGAUAUAAGAUUCUAUUGAAUCCGUAUCUGAUGAGUGUAUGAAGAAAUUCAUAAAAUAGAGUGGUACCGCGCAAGACAAGUAUAUUUUAGUCUUUCGUCUCUAAA